GUUUCUUCAGUACAUACAUUAUAGUGCUAGAUUUCCAGCUUCAUGCCUGACAAUCUGCUUACUUGUUCUCUUUUCAACCGGUCAGUCAACUUAUUACUCAAAUUUUCAUUACCUACCACGCUACAAAUCAUUUGCCAUUUGUCUGCUAGAUAUUCAUGACCUGCUACAAAUAAAUUAUAUUUAGUUUCUUCUUCAAAUAACCAGCACGCUCAGUCCUCUCUUCAAAUUACAUCAUGUUACAGCAUACCCCAAAAAUGAACCCUUCUAGCAUGCCUUUGUCUGCUGUUCAUCCGUCCUUGAAAGACUGGGGAGUUAUUGUCUAGGCAAUUGAAGCAACUCAUAUGAAGUAUAACUCAAUUCUUCAGCAACAUUAUCGAACAUUUGUGCUAGCUGACGCAGAGAUCUUAGUCUUUCAACUCAAGAUUCGACUGCUAUAUUGAUAGCUCCAAUUGUGCAACAGGCAACGGAUCUACAUCGCUGGUAUCAUCACAACGCACCUCAGCUAGCAUAGAUGGUCCAUGAGUACAGUUAUGCUAAUGCGCACAUCCUUCUUUCUCUCCCUCAUCACAGUCAAAUCCAUGACAUAGCCGCUCUACUUCACUUCGUAAAAUUCUUAUACUACCGUCCAAUUUCACAUCUAAACUUCUUUAUUAUAUUUACUGGUUACUAUGUCCCACUUUCUCCUCCUAUUGCUUUUAUUUUAUAGAAGCCAAAGACUACAUAGAUUAGAGGUGUCGUCGAGUUUGAUUGUAAACCUCUAAAAUUAACCUAUAUAGUUUGUCCCAGUUGUUAUCACCCAGACAGCUGUAUAGAUGAACGGAAAAUUAUCUGCAAAUACUGCCAAGCUAAUGUUGAUCUCCAACCCAGGUACUUAUAAAUAAUGUACGCUAUUUAUGUUAGUCAAUCUAAACCUCCAAUCGCAUGUGCAUUAGUUUAUUAAUUCCACGGCUUGUAUUUCAAUUUGGAUCACGAAUUCAACUGGCAUUCUGUGUCUUACUGCUAUGGCCUCUGAAGCCGAAAAGCUAGCUCAAUUUUCAACCGCUGAGCUAUACUAUUUGCAAACAGAGAACAUAAAUACAGCUCAACAUCUCCAGACAAUUCUGCACGGAAAAAUCCUUAUAUGCUACGUCAAGCCCUCUGCUUCAAAGUUUAGAAUAAUAAGACGCUCAGCUUAUGAAAUAAUCACUUACUACACUAUGAAUGAAGUUCACAACAUUGACAACCUCAACAUCAAUAAUCUCAACAUUAAUGACUGAAGAGCUACUUAUUCUGUUUUUUAAAUCACGCCUUUUCCAAUCAACAAUCUACGCUCAUUACUUGUAAUAUUUUUUUACUUAUAUCUUAAAUAUACUGUUCAUUACAAUUU